UGGGGAAUAUUGCACAAUGGGCGAAAGCCUGAUGCAGCGACGCCGCGUGAGGGAUGACGGCCUUCGGGUUGUAAACCUCUUUCAGCAGGGAAGAAGCGAAAGUGACGGUACCUGCAGAAGAAGCGCCGGCUAACUACGUGCCAGCAGCCGCGGUAAUACGUAGGGCGCAAGCGUUGUCCGGAAUUAUUGGGCGUAAAGAGCUCGUAGGCGGUUAGUCGCGUCUGCUGUGAAAACUCGAGGCUCAACCUCGGGCUUGCAGUGGGUACGGGCUGACUAGAGUGCGGUAGGGGUGACUGGAAUUCCUGGUGUAGCGGUGGAAUGCGCAGAUAUCAGGAGGAACACCGAUGGCGAAGGCAGGUCACUGGGCCGCAACUGACGCUGAGGAGCGAAAGCAUGGGGAGCGAACAGGAUUAGAUAGCCCUGGUAGUCCAUGCCGUAAACGUUGGGCACUAGGUGUGGGUCCAUUCCACGGAUUCCGUGCCGCAGCAAACGCAUUAAGUGCCCCGCCUGGGGAGUACGGCCGCAAGGCUAAAACUUAAAUGAAUUG
rnacentral:rRNA from 1 species